ensembl:lncRNA
CACAGUCAACCACCCCUUGAGUACAUAAUUACCGUAUUUAAUUUAAAUAAAUAACUUACAUAAUGAUAACACCUUAAAACGAUGUGUUGCGAUCAUCAAAAUAGUCUGAAUACACAAUAUUAAUAAAUGAAUUAUACAGAUGUGUAUUUUCAUAAAAGUCAAGGAAUAAAUCUACUGAUAAAAGUAGUAAAAUGAUGAGUAGUUUGUCUUAAGGACAGAUCCCGGUUGUCCCUGUUACAGGUCCUGUUUGUCUUAAGGACAGAUCCUGUUUGUCCCUGUUACAGGUCCUGUUUGUCCCUGUUACAGGUCCUGUUUGUCUUAAGGACAGAUCCUGUUUGUCCCUGUUACAGGUCCUGUUUGUCUUAAGGACAGAUCCUGUUUGUCCCUGUUACAGGUCCUGUUUGUCCCUGUUACAGGUCCUGUUUGUCUUAAGGACAGAUCCUGUUUGUCCCUGUUAAAGGUCCCAGUUGUCCCUGUUACAGGUCCUGUUUGUCUUAAGGACAGAUCCUGUUGUCCCUGUUACAG